rnacentral:rRNA from 1 species
UACGGGGGGAGCAAGCGUUGUUCGGAUUUACUGGGCGUAAAGGGCGCGUAGGCGGCCACCGCAAGUCAGUUGUGAAAGCUCUGGGCUUAACCCAGAAAGGUCAACUGAUACUGCGGGGCUAGAGUGCAGAAGGGGCAACUGGAAUUCUCGGUGUAGCGGUGAAAUGCGUAGAUAUCGAGAGGAACACCUGCGGCGAAGGCGGGUUGCUGGGCUGACACUGACGCUGAAGUGCGAAAGCGAGGGGAGCGAACGGG